rnacentral:lncRNA from 1 species
CCAAAGCAGAGGGAGCUUGUUACCGAACAAGCCCUCUAUGAUGCUGGCCUGAGCCUAGUCCCCCGUCUAGGUACCGCUCGAUCCAUCGGUUGUCUUUUCGUUUCACAUUUGUCCCCGAACAUGCACUAAUUUUCUUGAUGAAAUUGCAGAGACGCCGUCGAGGAUGAGGCCGACCGACGUCAAAAUCAGACAGUAUGCGGCAAGGA